AUCCUAAUUAGGAAGCUGAAAUCCAAAGAGUCAGGAGACAUUGAAGAAUCUGCCCAGAACCUUCAGUGCACACCAGGCUAAGAUUGCCAAGAAUAUCACCAGAAUUCACACUGAAGGAAGUAUCCCACCAAAGAGCCAAUGAGCAGAGAGGGUCUCCUCACUGAAAAACCAAGGAAGCAAUCACUCCAUUCACCACCACAGGAUCCAACUGUAGUAAGCAAAGGAUUCUGCAAAAUGAACUGCAUUUGAUUGACAGGGACAUGAGGCAGAGAAUCACAUGGGAGCCUAGGUCAAGAUUCUAAGGUCCCAACUGAAAAAAAAAAACAAGCAAAAAAAAAACAGACUUCUAGGGGAAGUUUAGAGUUAGCUGAGAUUUCCAUCUUUCUACAAGGUUUCUAGCCCUUUUGUGAGUUACCAGCUUGAGAGGAGAAAAACUGCUUUUAUUGGCUGCUGGCAGAUGGACAGAAGACCAAAGAAGAACCAUCCUUUCUUAGCUGGACCUACUUUGAACUUUACCUCUGGGACCUUGGCUCAUUUUUACUGGACUCUGUUUUGUGAGUCUGUCCAGGCUUUGGUGUAAAGAUGGCUAAGCCUAAGAACCACACCACCCACAACCAAUCACGAAAAUGGCACAGAAAUGGUAUCAAGAAAUCUAGGUCAUAGAGAUACAGGUCACUGAAAGAGGUCUGAGAAACAUGAGCUUUGCCAAGAAGGGGCUGAAGAAGAUGCAGGCCACCAACACCAAAGCCACCAAGACCUGAGCAGAGGCCAUCAAGGCUCUGAGCAUCAAGGGCAAGUUCCUAGGGCCCAAGAUCUCUUAUACCUUCCUGCUUACUAGAGUUCACUACUUUUUCAUCCCACACUCAAUUUCUACCUCAAGGUCAGUGUCAGGGAUGGCUUGAGGAACUUGAAAAGUUCUACAUGCCCACCACAAACAUCAGGUCAGAUACUCAAGGCUCUCAAGGCUCCUCGUUCAAAUCCCCUUUUAUCAGCACCAAAGAUAAUGUAGUAAGACUUUUAAAAUUUAGAUUUUAAGAAAUUUGACAGUAAGAAGGAAAUCUGAAUUAGUGAUCAUUGUAGUCCCCAAAGUACUUACCACAAGGGUUUGAAAAUCAGGUAUUUAAUAAAUAUCUUUUGAAAUAAAGCUUGGAAAGAAAA
rnacentral:lncRNA from 1 species